rnacentral:rRNA from 1 species
AGUGAACGCUGGCGGUAGGCCUAACACAUGCAAGUCGAACGGCAGCACAGUAAGAGCUUGCUCUUACGGGUGGCGAGUGGCGGACGGGUGAGGAAUACAUCGGAAUCUACUUUUUCGUGGGUGAUAACGUAGGGAAACUUACGCUAAUACCGCACACGACCUACGGGUGAAAGCAGGGGAUCUUCGGACCUUGCGCGAUUGAAUGAGCCGAUGUCGGAUUAGCUAGUUGGCGGGGUAAAGGCCCACCAAGGCGACGCUCCGUAGCUGGUCUGAGAGGAUGAUCAGCCACACUGGAACUGAGACACGGUCCAGACUCCUACGGGAGGCAGCAGUGGGGAAUAUUGGACAAUGGGCGAAAGCCUGAUCCAGCCAUACCACGUGGGUGAAGAAGGCCUUCGGGUUGUAAAGCCCUUUUGUUGGGAAAGAAAAGCAGCAGGUUAAUACCCCGCUGUUCUGACGGUACCAAAAGAAUAAGCACCGGCUAACUUCGUG